CCUACGGGAGGCAGCAGUGGGGGAUAUUGCACAAUGGGGGGAACCCUGAUGCAGCGACGCCGCGUGGGUGAAGGAGUGCUUCGGCAUGUAAAGCCCUAUCGGCAGGGAAGAAGCAAGACGGUACCUGACUAAGAAGCCCCGGCUAACUACGUGCCAGCAGCCGAGGUAAUAGGUAGGGGGCGAGCGUUACCCGGAUUCACGGGGGUAAAGGGGGCGUAGACGGGCAUGCAAGCCAGGGGUGAAAGCCCGGGGCGCAACCCCGGGACUGCGCUUGACACGGUGGGGCUGGAGUGCGGGAGGGGCAGGCGGAAUUCCGGGUGUAGCGGUGAAAUGCGUAGAGAUCAGGAGGAACACCGGCGGCGAAGGCGGCCUGCUGGACCGCGACUGACGUUGAGGCUCGAAAGCGUGGGGAGCGAACAGGAUUAGAUACCCGAGUAGUC
rnacentral:rRNA from 1 species